CCUACGGGAGUCAGCAGUGGGGAAUAUUGCGCAAUGGGCGAAAGCCUGACGCAGCGACGCCGCGUGAGGGAUGAAGGUCUUCGGAUCGUAAACCUCUGUCAGCAGGGAAGAACGGUCACUGUGCUAAUCAGCAGUGAAUUGACGGUACCUGCAAAGGAAGCACCGGCUAACUCCGUGCCAGCAGCCGCGGUAAUACGGAGGGUGCGAGCGUUAAUCGGAAUUACUGGGCGUAAAGCGCUCGUAGGCGGUAUGUUAAGUCAAGGGUGAAAUCCCCGCGCUCAACGUGGGAACUGCCUUUGAAACUGGCAGACUGGAGUGUGUGAGAGGAUAGUGGAAUUCCAGGUGUAGGAGUGAAAUCCGUAGAUAUCUGGAGGAACAUCAGUGGCGAAGGCGACUAUCUGGCACAUAACUGACGCUGAGGAGCGAAAGCGUGGGUAGCAAACAGGAUUAGAUACCCCAGUAGUC
rnacentral:rRNA from 1 species